AUUGAACGCUGGCGGCAGGCCUAACACAUGCAAGUCGAACGAGUGGCGGAGGGGUGAGUAAUGUCUGGGAAACUGCCUGAUGGAGGGGGAUAACUACUGGAAACGGUAGCUAAUACCGCAUACCAUCAGAUGUGCCCAGAGGGGUGUAGGUAGUUGGUGGGGUAGCGGGUCACCAGGGCGAGGAUCCGUAACUGGUCUGAGAGGAUGAUCAGGCACACUGGAACUGAGACACGGUCCAGACUCCUACGGGAGUCAGCAGUGGGGAAUAUUGGACAAUGGGCGAAAGCCUGAUCCAGCCAUGCCGCGUGUGUGAAGAAGGUCUUCGGAUUGUAAAGCACUUUAAGUUGGUCGGCGGUACCAACAGAAUAAGCACCGGCUAACUUCGUGCCAGCCGCCGCGGUAAUUC
rnacentral:rRNA from 1 species